CAGUAGCCGCGGGAAUACCAGCAGCCCAAGUGGUGGUCGCGUUUAUUGGGCCUAAAGCGCUCGUAGCCUGGCCGGUAAGUUCCCCGUGAAAUCGGGUCGCCCAACGAUUCGGCUUGCGGGGAAUACUGUCGGUCUUGGGGCCGGGAGACGCCGAGGGUACUCCGGGGGUAGCGGUGAAAUGCUGUAAUCCUCGGGGGACUACCAGUGGCGAAGGCGCUCGGCGAUAACGGGCCUGACGGUGAGGGGCGAAAGCUGGGGGCGCGAACGGGAUUAGAUACCCCCGUAGUCCCUGUCUCUUAUA
rnacentral:rRNA from 1 species